rnacentral:rRNA from 1 species
UACGAAGGGGGCUAGCGUUGUUCGGAAUUACUGGGCGUAAAGCGCGCGCAGGCGGUUUCUCAAGUCAGUGGUGAAAGCCCGGAGCUCAACUCCGGAACUGCCAUUGAAACUGUGAGACUUGAGGACGAGAGAGGUGAGUGGAAUUCCCAGUGUAGAGGUGAAAUUCGUAGAUAUUCGGAAGAACACCAGUGGCGAAGGCGGCUCACUGGCCCGGUACUGACGCUGAGGUGCGAAAGCGUGGGGAGCAAACAGG